GUAUUUUUUUCUUUUACAUUUAAUUAAAAAAAAAUUUUUUUCCCCCCAAACUCGAGGGUUCCUCCCCGGAGCGGGCGCGGGUCCAGGGCGGCCGGGCCGCGGGGUGGCGGCGGGGCCUGGCGGAGGCUGUCUGGCGGCCGCAACGCUACCAGGCAGUGCGCUGACCGGCCCGGCCGGUCGGCCCCCUCUAGGUCCUCCCUCUGCAGCCCGUGCGGGGCCGUCUCGGAGACGCCGCGCCGACGGCUGCUCGAACAUCAGGAUGAGACCAAGAGUGAGCCUGUCCUUCUCUCAUUUCAUCACGUCCCAGGAGGAUUGUCCACUUAAGAGGCCUUGAGCAAGCAAUUUAGCCUCUUUGACUCUCAAUUUCUCUCUUAAAGAAGAAGAAAAAAGGCAAAUUAAGAGACAAGUGACAUAAAUGACAGAUCCGAUAAAGGGUUGACAUCCAAAAUAUAUAAAGAGCUCACACACCUCAACAAACAAAAGCAAAUAACCCAAUUAAAAAAUGGGCAGAGGAGUUGAAUAGACAGUUCUCUAAAGAAGAAAUUCAGAUGGCCAACAGACACAUGAAAAGAUGCUCCACAUCGCUAGUCAUCAGAGAAAUGCAACUUAAAACCACAAUGAGAUAUCACCUCACGCCAGUAAGGAUGGCUACCAUCCAAAAGACAAACAACAACAAAUGUUGGCGAGGUUGUGGAGAAAGGGGAACCCUCCUACACUGCUGGUGGGAAUGUAAAUCAGUUCAACCAUUGUGGAAAGCAGUAUGGAGGUUCCUCAAAAUGCUCAAAAUAGAAAUACCAUUUGACGCAGGAAUUCCACUUCUAGGAAUUUACCCUAAGAAUGCAGCACUCCAGUUUGAAAAAGACAGAUGCACUCCUAUGUUUAUAGCUGCACUAUUUACAAUAGCCAAGAUAUGGAAGCAACCUAAAUGUCCAUCAGUAGAUGAAUGGAUAAAGAUAUGGUACAUAUACACAAUGGAAUAUUACUCAGCUAUAAGAAAAAAAACAGAUCCUACCAUUUGCAACAACAUGGAUGGAGCUAAAGGGUAUUAUGCUCAGUGAAAUAAGCCAGGCGGAGAAAGACAAGUGGAGUAUAAGAUUUCACUCAUAUGUGGAGUAUAAGAACAAAGGAAAACUGAAGGAACAAAACAGCAGCAGAAUCACAGAACCCAAGAAUGGACUAACAGUUACCAAAGGGAAAGGGACUGGGGAGGAUGGGUGGGAAGGGAGGGAUAAGGGCGGGGAAAAAAGAAAGGGGGCAUUAUGAUUAGCAUGUAUAGUGUGUGGGCGGCACGGGGAGGGCUGCGCAACACAGAGAAGACAAGUAGUGAUUUUACAGCAUCUUACUAGGUUGAUGGACAAUGACUGUGAAGGGGUAUGUGGGGGGGACUUGGUGAAGGGGGGAGCCUAGUAAACAUAAUGUCCUUCAUGUAAUUGUAGAUUAAUGAUACCAAAAUAAAAAAGAGACAAGUGACAAUGCAAAACAACAAGGCAAGGAUCUAACACUUGGUGAAUCUGAGGCAUUGUUCUAGGAACUUUUAUUCCUUACAAAAAUAGCUUUUUUAAGUAAGAAAAACAGGACUAUUCUAAUAUUAUAUGAACAAAGGAUACAAAAUACAAUUAAUUAAAUAUUUAUUGAGCAGCUGUUUUCAGCACCAUACUAAAAGCAAUACCAAUGGUAAACAAAUAUGUGAAAAAUGGUCACCUAUAUUAACCAUAAUCAAAUGAAUUCAAGUGAAAACAAAAGUGACUUUUCCAUUUUUUACCCAUCAAAUGGCCUAUGUGCAAAAUAAAUGUUUUCUCCAAUGUGUUAGAUGAAUGUGGAGUUUUGGGAUCUCUUCUGUGAGUAUAUGCAUAUAUUCAUAAUCUUCCUGAAGGCACUUA